AUUGAACGCUGGCGGCAGGCUUAACACAUGCAAGUCGAACGAGUGGCGGACGGGUGAGUAAUGCUUGGGAAUCUGGCUUAUGGAGGGGGAUAACUACGGGAAACUGUAGCUAAUACCGCGUACCAUAGGAUGAGCCCACGUGGGAUUAGGUAGUUGGUGAGGUAAAGGCUCACCAAGCCGACGAUCGCUAGCUGGUCUGAGAGGAUGACCAGCCACACUGGGACGGAGACACGGCCCAGACUCCUACGGGAGGCAGCAGUGGGGAAUAGUGCGCAAUGGGGGCAACCUGAGGCAGCAAUGCCGCGUGAAUGAAGAAGGCCUUCGGGUUGUAAAGUUCUUUCGGUGGCGAGGCGUUAACUGCAGAAGAAGCACCGGCUAACUCCGUGCCAGCAGCCGCGGUAAUAC
rnacentral:rRNA from 1 species